GACGAACGCUGGCGGCGUGCUUAACACAUGCCAGUCGAACGCUGAAGCUCAGCUUUUGUUGGGUGGAUGAGUGGCGAACGGGUGAGUAACACGUGAGUAACCUGCCCCCUUCUUUGGGAUAACGCCCGGAAACGGGUGCUAAUACUGGAUAUUCACUGGUCUUCGCAUGGGGGUUGGUGGAAAGGGUUUUUCUGGUGGGGGAUGGGCUCGCGGCCUAUCAGCUUGUUGGUGGGGUGAUGGCCUACCAAGGCUUUGACGGGUAGCCGGCCUGAGAGGGUGACCGGUAACAUUGGGACUGAGAUACGGCCCAGACUCCUACGGGAGGCAGCAGUGGGGAAUAUUGCACAAUGGGCGCAAGCCUGAUGCAGCGACGCCGCGUGAGGGAUGGAGGCCUUCGGGUUGUGAACCUCUUUCGCUCAUGGUCAAGCCGCAACAAUGGUUGUGGUGAGGGUAGUGGGUAAAGAAGCGCCGGCUAACUACGUG
rnacentral:rRNA from 1 species